GUGAAUCAUCAAAUUUUUGAACGCAAAUUGCACUUUCUGGUAUUCCGGAAAGUAUGCCUGUUUGAGGGUCAGUUAAAUUAAAAUCGGUGUUGUUGCUACCCGUAGUGGUGUGUGAUGCAUCGGAAUUGAGUCGUUCUUUACCUUUGGUUUAAGUGACUUAAAAUUAUGUUCGAUUUUUGAACGUAUUUAAAUUAUUACUUAGUUUCUUAAUUUCCCUUUUUAGUUCGGUUCUUUCACU
rnacentral:misc_RNA from 1 species